UAUUGAAAAUUUCAUCUAUUUCUACAGUUAAAAAUUAGCAUGACUGACGGAAUAAACAGAUAAUUUCACAUGACAUACCACGUGUAUCUCAUGUUGAUGUACAAAGAACAGCUUUUAAAAAUAAAAAUGGAUGGAAAUUUUAAUA
rfam:Gossypium raimondii Chr13_contig_38, whole genome shotgun sequence.